rnacentral:rRNA from 1 species
AACGCGAAGAACCUUACCCAGGCUUGACAUCCUGAGAACUUCCCAGAGAUGGGGAGGUGCCCGCAAGGGAGCUCAGAGACAGGUGCUGCAUGGCUGUCGUCAGCUCGUGUCGUGAGAUGUUGGGUUAAGUCCCGCAACGAGCGCAACCCUCGCCUUUAGUUGCCAUCAUUCAGUUGGGCACUCUAAGGGGACUGCCGGUGAUAAGCCGGAGGAAGGUGGGGAUGACGUCAAGUCCUCAUGGCCCUUACAGGCUGGGCUACACACGUGCUACAAUGGCGGUGACAGAGGGACGCAAAGGAGCAAUCCUUCGCAAAUCUCAAAAAGCCGUCUCAGUUCGGAUUGUGCUCUGCAACUCGAGCACAUGAAGUUGGAAUCGCUAGUAAUCGCAGAUCAGCACGCUGCGGUGAAUACGUUCCCGGGCCUUGUACACACCGGUACUA